ACACGUGGGUAACCUGCCUUAUAUGGGGGAUAGCCUUUCGAAAGGAAGAUUAAUACGCAUAAGAUUGUAGUAUCGCAUGAUAUAGCAAUUAAAGGAGCAAUUCGCUAUAAGAUGGACCCGCGUCGCAUUAGCUAGUUGGUGAGGUAAUGGCUCACCAAGGCGACGAUGCGUAGCCGACCUGAGAGGGUGAUCGGCCACAUUGGGACUGAGACACGGCCCAGACUCCUACGGGAGGCAGCAUG
rnacentral:rRNA from 1 species